UACGUAGGGGGCUAGCGUUGUCCGGAAUCAUUGGGCGUAAAGCGCGCGUAGGCGACCCGGUAAGUCCGUUGUGAAAGUCAAAGGCUCAACCUUUGAAAGCCGAUGGAUACUGCCGGGCUAGAGUCCGGAAGAGGCGAGUGGAAUUCCUGGUGUAGCGGUGGAAUGCGCAGAUAUCAGGAGGAACACCGAUAGCGAAGGCAGCUCGCUGGGACGGUACUGACGCUGAGGCGCGAAAGCGUGGGGAGCGAACAGG
rnacentral:rRNA from 1 species